rnacentral:rRNA from 1 species
GGCAUGCCUUACACAUGCAAGUCGAACGCGAAAGUGUCUUCGGACAUUAGUAGAGUGGCAAACGGGUGAGUAACGCGUGGGAAUCUACCUUAUAGUACGGGAUAGCCUCGGGAGACUGGGAUUAAUACCGUAUACUCCCUUCGGGGGAAAGAUUUAUCGCUAUAAGAUGAGCCCGCGUCAGAUUAGCUAGUUGGUAGGGUAAAAGCCUACCAAGGCAACGAUCUGUAGCUGGUCUGAGAGGACGAUCAGCCACACUGGGACUGAGACACGGCCCAGACUCCUACGGGAGGCAGCAGUGGGGAAUAUUGGACAAUGGACGCAAGUCUGAUCCAGCAAUGCCGCGUGAAUGAUGAAGGCCUUAGGGUUGUAAAGUUCUUUUAGUGGGGAAGAUAAUGACGGUACCCACAGAAAAAGCACCGGCUAACUUCGUGCCAGCCGCCGCCGUAA